GGUGCUAAAAUGGAACACUAUUCCAAUGCAGUGAUUCAUGGACUGAAGAAGCUGCAUGUGUCAGUGCUGAUAGCCCUUCAACAACACUAGGGUUCUGAGCCUUGCUGAGGGAUUAGAGAUUUUAUCUGAGAGGAGACCACACUUUUGACUGAGUGUUACAGAUCUGAUACGGAAAAGAGGGUGCAUCAGGCUAAGAGCACUCUUUCAGCUGCAAGUCGCUGAGAGACUGCCAUGGGCCACCGAAAGACUCCCACACUGGGCCAGGAGGCUGCCAAGCCAGGAUGAGUGGAUGCCUCGCUGGGUCUAUGCUGAGGCUGGGAGAAGAAAGAAAAAAAGAAACACAAAGAGAGAAAAAAAAGAAAAAAAUGAGAAAGGAACAGAAAGAGCAGAUGAGCUCUGGCUGAAGCAUCCUACCUCUGCAGCCAUCUUGAAUGUGGACAAGUUGCAUGGCAUUUAUUUUAAUUCAAUAACAUGUGUCAUAUUAAUAAAAUUAAAACCCAUCUACUUUUGGAACUGGAUUAAAGUUUUUUCUCAUUUUGAAAUCAGCUAUGAAACCAAUAUUUUGCUCAUGGAUGUUAUGUGCUGACCUGAUUCCAGAUAAGAGUGUUUCAAGGUCAUUUGUGAUGUUCUGGAACUGGCUGAUUCUGUUUUCUUUUACAGAAUUAAUUCUGAGAACUCAGGGUCCCUUUUAAUGGACAAUUUAAAUAACAGUGAGGCUAAUGGCACUCACCACCUGACAACAGCUUCAGGUACUAAUACAAAAGCAAAUACCUGCAGAUAUUGGAAAUCUGAAAUAAAACAGAAAAAAAGCAAAAGGCACUCAGCAGGUAGAGAAACUGACAAUAUUUUGGGUUAAUGACCUUUCCUUCCUUCAACUUCUCAGUUUCCAUUUCUGAGGAUGGCUGAUCAACAAGAAGUAAUUAUAUACCCAUUGCCAUUUAGACUGUUUUUCCAUACUCUUUUUAAUAAACUCAUCAUUUAUGGUACGCAUUGCUGGAUAAGCAAUGGCUCAUGUGGGGCGGGGCAACUAGUGGGAUGGAGGCUCAAGCGGAGAAGGGAUAGCCAACGGGCUGGAGGCUUGCACGGAGUGGGAUCGACCACGGCUGGAGACCCAAGUCAUGUGGGGACAGCCAGUGGGCUGAACACUCGAGCAGAGUGGGGAUGGCCAGUGAGCCUGGAGGCCCGAGCGAACUGGAUGGUUGUUGGACUGGGGACUGGUGCAGAUGGCUUGGAAGCCCAGGCAGAUCAUGUGUGGAAGCACCCUGUGCUGAUCUACUGAAAGAUUGUAAUGCUCAUCUUUUUAACUUUAACCUUAUUUUUCUAACUUAUGCUAUGAAUAACUAUAAAGUAAUAUAACUUUUUUCCUUUAUUUCUGUAUUUUGUAUCUAAGAUCUGUACCUCGGUACUUUGUACUAUGAUGAUACCUAUA